UCAGAAGGUUCCAAGGCUAAGUGUGAAAUUGCUAAGGCUAAUUGAGCCUCAACUACAGAAGGCACUCAACACAAAGGUGGAAGUAUUCCUAAUACUGAGCAUAAGAGGAGACUGGCUUUGGAGUUAGGAGGGGACCCUUCUAUGUUUGAAUUGUUCAAGAGGACAUAUUUAAAUGACAAAAUUGGAAAACUUGCAGACCGAUGAGCGGAAUUAGCUCAUGUGGUAAGAAGAAGAAGGGCCGCAUCUAUGGAUUUGGGUUUGAGGCUGAUGAUGAUAUUUGUACCCAGAGGUCUUCUCCUUCCAUUAACAGCACAAGUAUCAAUACUAGUAUUGAACCUGAAUUGCGCACGAGGAUAACAGAGUUUACACAGGAGAAUCAACAAAUUAGACAAGAGCAUCAAGAGAUGAGACAAAAUUAUAACAAAAUCAUGUCUGCAUUGGAAGGAAUGGGAAUUAGACUAUCUGAGCCCUCUAGCAGCAAUAUAAAUUUAGGAAAUGAUAGUUGACUGUUGUUAUUAUUGUUUCUAGCUUUUACUUCACACUUGACAUUUGACAUUUGAAGCAUUUUAGGUGUGUGAAAGACUAUAUAUCUUUAAUUAUAGCAUGUUUGAUUUUUUG